rnacentral:snoRNA from 1 species
CUCCCUGAUGAUAUAACACUUUACUUUUUUUCUGGUACCUCUUAUGUUAGGGUCCUUCGGGACCCAAUGAAUGAAUCGGACUUCUGAUU